GUGCCAGCCGCCGCGGUAAUACGAGAGGCCCAAACGUUAUUCGGAAUUACUGGGCUUAAAGAGUUCGUAGGCGGCGCAGAAAGUAGGGUGUGAAAGCCCUCGGCUCAACCGAGGAAUUGCGCUCUAAACUACUGUGCUUGAGGGACCUAGAUGUGAGCGGAACUGAUGGUGGAGCGGUGUAAUGCGUUGAUAUCAUCAGGAAUACCGGAGGCGAAGGCGGCUCACUGGGGGUUUUCUGACGCUGAGGAACGAAAGCCAGGGGAGCGAACGGGAUUAGAUACCCGUGUAGUCC
rnacentral:rRNA from 1 species